ACCAGUGUGGCAUAGUGGUUUGAGUGUUGGACUAAGACUCUGGGGGCCAGAGUUUGAUUCCCAGCUCGGCCA